UACGAAGGGGGCUAGCGUUGCUCGGAAUUACUGGGCGUAAAGGGAGCGUAGGCGGGUUAUCAAGUUGGGGGUGAAAGCCCGGGGCUCAACCUCGGAAUUGCCUUCAAACUGAUAACCUGGACGUAUGGAAGAGGUAAGUGGAACUCCGAGUGUAGAGGUGAAGUUCGUAGAUAUUCGGAAGAACAGCCAGUAGGCGAAGGCGACUUACUGGUCCAA
rnacentral:rRNA from 1 species